GCGGCGGUAGUCUAGCCUGGUUUAGGAUGGCGGCCUUCCAAGCCGUUGAUCCCGGGUUCAAAUCCCGGCCGCCGCA
rnacentral:tRNA from 3 species